ACGCUGCAGCGGCGGGAGUUUCCAUGGAAACGGUGAGCAACACUGUAACUGACGAAGAGUAAAUCUCUGUCUCUCCUGCUGUUUUCACUGCUUCCAGAAAUGUUUUACAGUCUUCGAAAAAGUCCGCUAGCAUCUGUUUUCAGGCGAGGAGUGAUAACAUAAUCUUUCUACAAAGGAAGAGAAGCUCCAAGAUUUCAAAAUUCCUGAAGGGAGCUGCUGACAGAAAUGCAGAAAACACAGAUUAUGAUGGCCGUGCAGCAGAGGAGCGCAGAGUCUCCUGUCGGACAACAUCUCUAAGUUGCUAUACCAUGUUACUAGAUCCUAUGUACCCAGCCUCAACCAUUCAUCAGAAGGACUGUGAAAGCAGGAACUCUUUGAACCACCAGUGGCAGUUUCCACAGGAUGAAAAAGGGCAUAGUAGUGGAUGAUGAGGUCCUGAGACCAUAUGGGGUGAAGAUCAAGACAACCAAACCAAAGGUGGACUGUAACCUACUGGACUAUAUGAUAGACUUCAUACUGACCACUACUGCCAUGUAUGCAGCAUGAAAAGUUUUUGAAAAAAGGGGCAUUUCCUUCACCAAGUAAAAGUGUGGAGGAUUCAUCUGGCCUUCAUCGGCCCCCAUGAGGUGACUCGAUGUAGAAUAAAUCAACUUGCUUUAGGCUUGAAAUGACUGAAAUCUUCUCAUGUGAGUUGAUAUCAUUUUAAACAUUCUUAAAAGUACUUCUCAUUUCUUGUGAAUGUAUUUUGUAGUAUGUGUAAAACUUUUCCACUGAAAGAACCUUUUUUACCUUUAUUGAUAUUGUAAUCAAGAUUGUUAAUGCGACCUUGAUGCACCCGAUGGACUGCACACAUCUGCCUGUAUUGGGCUUGUGUUUACAGGUUGUAUAAAACUAGGCCUGGCUGCAACAACUAAUCGAUAAUGAAAAUAAUCAUCAACGAAUUUGAAUAGUGCAUCAAAACAAACAGACCGCUCAUAAUUCUGACUAAAAUACACAUUUUACAUUAGAAAUUUAGAAAUUAAGUGUAGGUUUAAAACCCUACAUGUAACACAAGUAAUCAUAUUUAUGAGAGCAGUAACAGUAAAGGCACUAUUGUUGGAACUGUCCAUUAAUAUAAUAAAAUAUAAUUGCUCUGUUCAGACGAAUGAUUGUUUAUUCUUCGUACCUAUUACAAGUUAACAUUGUGUUUUUUUGUUUAAAUUGUUUUAAAUUCUGUUUCAAAAUAACAAGCAAUCUGUUGUUUUUAGGUUUAGAAUGUAAUGUUUGUAUUUUAAGACUUUAAUGCUUAUAAUGAACAGCAGAGCCUACAUAGAGAAAUUACAUUCUUUAAAAUAAUGGAUUAAAAUUAUUUUAAUUAAAAAAUUAUGUAUAUAUUUUAUUUAUUUAUUUAUUUGUCAUCCAAUUACUAGUAUUAAUAAAAAAAAUCUACAAAUAAAUUGGUUAUCCAAAAAAAUUGUUAGUUGCAUGCAGCCCUACAAAAGAUGUUGUUAAAGAGGUCGGCGGUAUAAUGUUGUGUGUGAACACGAAGUCAUGUUUAUUUGUACAACAUGUAAUUAAUUUCUAUAGAGAUAAUGCAUUAUUACAGUGAAACAAUUUGCUAUUUUUAUUUUGUAAAUUAGCAGAAAACCAUCUCUACCACUGCAGUGCUUUAUCACUAUUUUUUAAAUAAAGUUAUAGUUCAUAGUUCUGAAUCAUUUUGACAUGUGACAACAAUAUUUUGUUUCAGAUGAUGUAACUGCUAUAAUAAAGCCUGUAUCAUAGAAUAGUAACUUGUCAUUCUGUUUUUAUUUUGUAGAUGUUUGUUGAAUAACUAGGCUUAAAUGUAAUUUGAGGUACUUUAGUAAAACCAUGGUUAAACUAUGGUAUUACA